GACAGAGGGUGCAAGCGUUGUUCGGAAUCAUUGGGCGUAAAGCGCACGUAGGCGGUCUUGUAAGUCAGAUGUGGAAGCCCUGGGCUUAACCCAGGAAGUGCAUCUGAUACUGCAAGACUUGAGUCCCGGAGAGGGUGGUGGAAUUCCUGGUGUAGAGGUGAAAUUCGUAGAUAUCAGGAGGAACACCGGUGGCGAAGGCGACCACCUGGACGGAGACUGACGCUGAGGUGCGAAAGCAUGGGGAGCAAACAGG
rnacentral:rRNA from 1 species